rnacentral:lncRNA from 1 species
CGUCUCUAGCUUCCUCACUUGAACAUGGGGAUAAAAUGGCACUUAUUUCAGAGCUUUGCUGUGAGGAUUAAAUGAGCGAAUUACACAUAAGGCACUUAGACUAAAGGCUCCAUAAGUGUCAGACAAAUCUAGGGGCAGAAGAAUAGGUUUGAAGGAGCAGGGAUGUGAAACAGAAUGGAGAACACGGAAGCAAAAGUCAUCUGCUACACAAUAAUAGCAGAGCACUUUGGACAGAUUAUUACUCAGCCUUCAGAAAAAUCCGUUAAUGCACGUGAGCCAAUCCAAGUCACAUGGCUAAUAAAUAGCUGAGCUGGGUUUGAAUUCAGGACAUCUGUUUCCAGAGAGCAAGUCCCGAACCAUUAUGAAAUCGUGUCUCCUACCUUCACAGCUGCCCUUUGGGGAAUGGAAUCCCUGCCUCGAAAAGGAGAAAGUGAAGCAAAAAAAGAUGUAGGGAAUGGAAAAGGAGAAAGAAUAAACAAAAUAAGGUCAGACUCAACUACUUUCUGAAUUUAAAAGCGAUAAAGUGACAGGUUUCCCUUUAUCAUCCCUUCGCACAGAGCCUACUAUUCCUGUGGUUGACACUUUACUGUGAAUCUGGUGCCAGGAUGAAAUUAAAGUCACUGUGAAAGGCUGCAACAGGAUCACAGAUCCCUCUCACUUGGUAAGACCCAAACAUGAAGUGGACAUCAGGGUCAUGAAAUGAGAGGGUGGGCAGAAGAGCCGUGCACUGAGUAUNAGAAACACAGAAAUGGUGCCCCUAUCCAGAGCAUCAGGACAAGCUGCCGGGUUUUAGAGGCAGGCACACAAAGGAUUCACACUGUUGUCUGGCCCAGAGCAUCUGAAAAAAAUGACUUGACACCUCUGAGCAUCACUUUUUCUAUAUGUGAAAUGGGAACAAGAACACCCACCUCUUCACGGAUAAACCACGUUGCUACAAUGUCAGGAAGAAAUGGGAAGCCAGCACUCACACACGGCAAAUGCAGCUGAAGAGCGAGGGAAGAUUGGUAAUCAGCAGUGGUGUUCAGUCACUAAGUUGUGUCCGA